GCGGUAUCCUGACCGUGCAAAGGUAGCAUAAUCAUUUGCCUCUUAAUUGGUGGCUAGUAUGAAUGGACACACGCAAGCAUCGCUGUCUCACUAAUAUAAAUAAAAACUAACCUUUAGGUGAAGAGGCCUAAAUAAAAUAAAAAGACAAAAAGACCCUAUGGAGCUUUAUUUUUCCUCCUUUAACGUACAAUAUACUAAAAUACCUUCCAGGACUAACAAAUUUAGUUGGGGCGACUUAGGAAAACAAUAAAUCUUCCUAGUUUAACAAGAAAAUAAUUCAUCCAACGAUCCGCCAUGCGAAUACAGAUCCAGCUACCCUAGGGAUAACAGGCUAAUUCUUCUCGAGAGCCCGAAUUGACAGAAGAGAUUG
rnacentral:rRNA from 1 species